rnacentral:rRNA from 1 species
GGAAGUAAAAGUCGUAACAAGGUUUCCGUAGGUGAACCUGCGGAAGGAUCAUUACUGAUUUAGCGAACCGAGCAUUAGCGAGGUUUUGCGAUCAAUUUAUAUUUAAAACCCACUCUUUAAUGUAUAAAAUUUGUAUUAAUGAUAAAUUAAAAGAUCACUUUCAACAACGGAUCUCUUGGCUCUCGCAUCGAUGAAGAACGUAGCGAAGUGCGAUAAGUAAUGUGAAUUGCAGUAUUCCGUGAAUCAUCGAAUCUUUGAACGCAUAUUGCACUUUCUGGUAUUCCGGAAAGUAUGCCUGUUUGAGGGUCAGUUAAAUAAAAAUCGGUGUUGUUGCUGCCUUUCGUGGUGACGCGUCGGAAUUGAGUCGUCUUACCUUCGGUUAAGUGACUUAAAAUUUUGUAUGAUUUUUGAACGUAUUUAAAUUUAUUUGUACGUUUGAGAUAUCGAAUGUUUAUUAGGUUCGGUCAUUCUAAUGACUCGCGCCUAUAGUUUUUCAUUAAAUGACCUCAAAUCAGGUAAGAAUACCCGCUGAACUUAAGCAUAUCAAUAAGCGGAGGA